ensembl:processed_transcript 4933400F21Rik RIKEN cDNA 4933400F21 gene
AAACCUUCUAGAACACAAACAACAUGGGCUUCCCACUGAAAGCUUUAGGGCUACAGCACUGCCAAUCCCAAGCUCUGUGGCUCUGAGAGUGCAGUCAAUCUUCACUUCUUAAAGAUGGCUAUGAGGACAGACUCCCCCGUCCUAGGUUAAGCCUGGGGUCUGCUCUGGGAGCUCUGGAUAGACCAGUGACAGGAGGAUUACUACUGGAUUCCUGACCUCAAGGAAUUGUUCCAUCUCACAAAGGCACGGGCUACCUCUGAGAGAGCACCUAAAUACACGACCAGCCCAGAAUGAUAAGCUGCAGCUGAGACAGGUGCAUUUGGGUGCUGCAGGUAACUGGAAAUGGGCAUGUGUGGUCAUCCUGAGCAUCACUGUACCAGCGGGGAUGGAUGGUACUGCAGACAGGCCACCUGGGUGCUAGCUGAAGAGGGACAAGCUUCCUCGGCUCAGCGAACCUUGGCUUUGGUCAGAAAGCUGCCCUUCUACCAUACUGAGCAGCAGGGCCCGAGUGACACCCUUCCCUGGGCUUUCACUGGUCUGAACUCAAGUGCGAGCACAGCCUUUCUAACCCUCCCAUCCCAGUGGCGUCAGGACCAGGCCAGAAGACAGAAUACCUGAGGUCAUCUCCGAUCAAGACUUCACAUUCGUGACUAAUAAUACUUCAGUGUUAAUUAGAGCUCAGCAGAGAAUGCUGAUUGAUUCUGAAUCUGUAAUCUGCAGUGAUUUAGCAACAUCGAGAGGGCUUCGGAACCUCUUCCUGGAACACAGAGGCUCACACGGCUGACUGCCAGCCGGUACUUUUAGCUCAACAAAGUCUCAAAAGAAGCACAGAUACUGUACCGUGUACUUCAACUUGAGAGAGAAAAAAAAUACCUCAUAUUGAAUUAUUCUUAGUAUAGGAUGGCUGUAGUAGAGUUAUAAAUGCAUAACUACUGUAUUGAAUUGUCCCUAAAAUGUUUAUAGUACAAGUUUGUCUACUGCAAUGAACAUGCACUUCUGCCCAACCU